CUACGGGGUGCUCCAGUCGAGAAUCUUCCGCAAUGGGCGAAAGCCUGACGGAGCAAUGCCGCGUGCAGGAUGAAGGCCUUCGGGUCGUAAACUGCUGUCACAGGGGAUGAAUAAUGACAGUACCCGGGGAGGAAGUCACGGCUAACUACGUGCCAGCAGCCGCGGUAAUACGUAGGUGACAAGCGUUGUUCGGAUUUAUUGGGCGUAAAGGGUUCGUAGGAUGUUGAUUAAGAUUGGUGUGAAAUCCCAAGGCUCAACCGUGGAACUGCAUUGAUUACUGAUGAACUAGAGUGUCGUAGAGGAAAGCGGAAUUCCAGGUGUAGCGGUGGAAUGCGUAGAUAUCUGGAAGAACACCGACAGCGAAGGCAGCUUUCUGGGCGAUAACUGACUCUGAGGAACGAAAGCAUGGGGAGCAAACAGGAUUAGAUACCCCCGUAGUC
rnacentral:rRNA from 1 species